rnacentral:hammerhead_ribozyme from 1 species
ACGCGAAACCGCCCCGCCCACUCCAAGGGCGGCGCGGUCGCCCGGUGGUGGUGCGCUGGGCCUGACGAGCAGCCAAAU